rnacentral:rRNA from 1 species
GUGAGGAAUAUUGCGCAAUGGAGGCAACUCUGACGCAGCCAUGCCGCGUGCAGGAAGAAGGCGCUACGCGUUGUAAACUGCUUUUAACCGGGAAGAAACCCCAGGACGUGUCCUGGGUUGACGGUACCGGAGGAAUAAGCACCGGCUAACUUCGUGCCAGCAGCCGCGGUAAUACGAAGGGUGCAAGCGUUAUCCGGAUUCAUUGGGUUUAAAGGGUGCGUAGGCGGAGCGUUAAGUCAGUGGUGAAAUCCUGCAGCUUAACUGUAGACUUGCCAUUGAUACUGGCGCUCUUGAGUGCGCUUGAAGUGGGCGGAAUGUGCCGUGUAGCGGUGAAAUGCUUAGAUAUGGCACAGAACACCAAUUGCGAAGGCAGCUCACUAAGGCGAUACUGACGCUGAGGCACGAAAGCGUGGGGAUCGAUCAGGAUUAGAAACCCCAGUAGUCC